rnacentral:rRNA from 1 species
AUGAACGCUAGCUACAGGCUUAACACAUGCAAGUCGAGGGGCAGCAGGAUCUAGCAAUAGAUUGCUGGCGACCGGCGCACGGGUGAGUAACACGUAUCCAACCUGCCGAUAACUCGGGGAUAGCCUUUCGAAAGAAAGAUUAAUACCCGAUGGUAUAAUCAGACCGCAUGGUCUUGUUAUUAAAGAAUUUCGGUUAUCGAUGGGGAUGCGUUCCAUUAGGCAGUUGGUGAGGUAACGGCUCACCAAACCUUCGAUGGAUAGGGGUUCUGAGAGGAAGGUCCCCCACAUUGGAACUGAGACACGGUCCAAACUCCUACGGGAGGCAGCAGUGAGGAAUAUUGGUCAAUGGGCGCAGGCCUGAACCAGCCAAGUAGCGUGAAGGAUGACUGCCCUAUGGGUUGUAAACUUCUUUUAUAUGGGAAUAAAGUUUUCCACGUGUGGAAUUUUGUAUGUACCAUAUGAAUAAGGAUCGGCUAACUCCGUGCCAGCAGCCGCGGUAAUACGGAGGAUCCGAGCGUUAUCCGGAUUUAUUGGGUUUAAAGGGAGCGUAGGUGGACAGUUAAGUCAGUUGUGAAAGUUUGCGGCUCAACCGUAAAAUUGCAGUUGAUACUGGCUGUCUUGAGUACAGUAGAGGUGGGCGGAAUUCGUGGUGUAGCGGUGAAAUGCUUAGAUAUCACGAAGAACUCCGAUUGCGAAGGCAGCUCACUGGACUGCAACUGACACUGAUGCUCGAAAGUGUGGGUAUCAAACAGGAUUAGAUACCCUGGUAGUCCACACAGUAAACGAUGAAUACUCGCUGUUUGCGAUAUACAGUAAGCGGCCAAGCGAAAGCAUUAAGUAUUCCACCUGGGGAGUACGCCGGCAACGGUGAAACUCAAAGGAAUUGACGGGGGCCCGCACAAGCGGAGGAACAUGUGGUUUAAUUCGAUGAUACGCGAGGAACCUUACCCGGGCUUAAAUUGCAUUUGAAUAUAUUGGAAACAGUAUAGCCGUAAGGCAAAUGUGAAGGUGCUGCAUGGUUGUCGUCAGCUCGUGCCGUGAGGUGUCGGCUUAAGUGCCAUAACGAGCGCAACCCUUAUCUUUAGUUACUAACAGGUCAUGCUGAGGACUCUAGAGAGACUGCCGUCGUAAGAUGUGAGGAAGGUGGGGAUGACGUCAAAUCAGCACGGCCCUUACGUCCGGGGCUACACACGUGUUACAAUGGGGGGUACAGAAGGCAGCUACCUGGUGACAGGAUGCUAAUCCCAAAAGCCUCUCUCAGUUCGGAUCGAAGUCUGCAACCCGACUUCGUGAAGCUGGAUUCGCUAGUAAUCGCGCAUCAGCCAUGGCGCGGUGAAUACGUUCCCGGGCCUUGUACACACCGCCCGUCACACCAUGAGAGUUGGCAACACCCGAAGCCGGCGGCCCAACCCGCAAGGGAGGGAGCUGUCUAAGGUGGGGCUGAUGAUUAGGGUG